CAGAGGUGGCAAGCGUUGUUCGGAAUUACUGGGCGUAAAGGGCGCGUAGGCGGCCAUCUAAGUCAGACGUGAAAUCCCCCGGCUUAACCUGGGAACUGCGUCUGAUACUGGACGGCUCGAGUAUGGGAGAGGGAUGUAGAAUUCCAGGUGUAGCGGUGAAAUGCGUAGAUAUCUGGAGGAAUACCGGUGGCGAAGGCGGCAUCCUGGACCAUUUACUGACGCUGAGGCGCGAAAGCUAGGGGAGCAAACGGGAUUAGAUACCCCGGUAGUCCUAGCCCUAAACGAUGAAUGCUUGGUGUGGCGGGUAUCGAUCCCUGCCGUGCCGAAGCUAACGCAUUAAGCAUUCCGCCUGGGGAGUACGGUCGCAAGGCUG
rnacentral:rRNA from 1 species